rnacentral:rRNA from 1 species
UACUAGAGUAGCACUCGCAUAUCAAUAAGCGGAGGAAAAGAAACUAACAAGGAUUCCCCUAGUAACGGCGAGUGAAGCGGGAAGAGCUCAAAUUUGAAAUCUUAAAGGGUUUCCCUUACGAAUUGUAGUUUAAAGAAGUGUUUUCUGUUGAGGUUUUGGUAAAAGUUCUUUGGAAUAGGACAUCAUAGAGGGUGAGAAUCCCGUAUUUGACCUUUACUUUCAACUUUGUGAUACACUUUCAAAGAGUCGGAUUGUUUGGGAAUGCAGUCCAAAAUGGGUGGUAAAUUUCAUCUAAAGCUAAAUAUUGGCGAGAGACCGAUAGCGAACAAGUACCGUGAGGGAAAGAUGAAAAGAACUUUGAAAAGAGAGUUAAACAGUACGUGAAAUUGUCAAAAGGGAAGCGUUUGACACCAGUGUUGUUUUUCUGAAAAUCAAUUAAAGAACUGUUUAUGCUAAGCUGUUUAGACUUUAUCAGCUAACUGUUUAGUUUUGAGCUUUUCUUUAAUGCACUUUUCAGUUAACAAGUCAACAUCAAUUUCUUUUGCUGUAAAAAAGCUUGAGGAAGGUGGCUUGAGAUUCGUCUUAAGUGUUUAUAGCCUCUUGCCUAUGCAGUCGGAGAGAUUGAGGUCUGCAGCGUAGAUCCUUCGGGGCUAAAUGCAUUUGUGCUAAGUUAUAGCAUUUUAUAGACAACUUGUUGACUAUGAUUUGUCUUGUAGCUUACUCGCUUAUGUUAUUUUACCUACGCUUAGGAUGUUGAUCUACAGAGCGAGAGU